rnacentral:rRNA from 1 species
GGACGAACGCUGGCGGCGUGCUUAACACAUGCAAGGUCACGGGGGCCCGGCAAGGGUAACCGGCGAACGGGUGCGUAACACGUGAGCAAUCUGCCGUGAUCUGGGGGAUAGCCCGGCGAAAGCCGGAUUAAUACCGCAUACGACCUGAGGGUGAAAGGGGGGGAUCGCAAGACCUCUCGCAGUUGGAGCGGCCGAUGGCGGAUUAGCUAGUUGGUAGGGUAAAGGCCUACCAAGGCGACGAUCCGUAGCUGGUCUGAGAGGACGACCAGCCACACUGGAACUGAGACACGGUCCAGACUCCUACGGGAGGCAGCAGUGGGGAAUUUUGGACAAUGGGGGCAACCCCUGAUCCAGCCAUUCCGCGUGAGUGAAGAAGGCCUUCGGGUUGUAAAGCUCUUUCGGCAGGAACGAAACGGUGGUCCCUAAUACGGAUUGCUAAUGACGGUACCUGAAGAAGAAGCACCGGCUAACUACGUG